GAUGAACGCUGGCGGUAUGCUUUACACAUGCAAGUCGAACGCAAGUUUUUAACUUGAGUGGCGGACGGGUGAGUAACACGUGAGAAUUCGCCUUUAGGCGGGGAAUAACCAUCGGAAACAAUGGCUAAUGCCCCAUAUGCUCGUAAGAGUGAAAGGAGCAAUCCACCCAGAGAGAAGCUCGCGGCUGAUUAGCUAGUUGGUAAGGUAAUGGCUUACCAAGGCGACGAUCAGUAGCUGGUUUGAGAGAACGAUCAGCCACACUGGAACUGAGACACGGUCCAGACUCCUACGGGAGGCAGCAGUGGGGAAUUUUCCGCAAUGGGCGCAAGCCUGACGGAGCAAUACCGCGUGAGGGAUGAC
rnacentral:rRNA from 1 species